UGCUGGAGGUAUCAGAAGUGCGAAUGCUGACAUAAGUAACGAUAAAGCGGGUGAAAAGCCCGCUCGCCGGAAGACCAAGGGUUCCUGUCCAACGUUAAUCGGGGCAGGGUGAGUCGACCCCUAAGGCGAGGCCGAAAGGCGUAGUCGAUGGGAAACAGGUUAAUAUUCCUGUACUUGGUGUUACUGCGAAGGGGGGACGGAGAAGGCUAUGUUAGCCGGGCGACGGUUGUCCCGGUUUAAGCAUGUAGGCUGGUUAUCCAGGCAAAUCCGGAUAAUCAAGGCUGAGGUGUGAUGACGAGGCACUACGGUGCUGAAGUAACAAAUGCCCUGCUUCCAGGAAAAGCCUCUAAGCAUCAGGUAACAUCAAAUCGUACCCCAAACCGACACAGGUGGUCAGGUAGAGAAUACCAAGGCGCUUGAGAGAACUCGGGUGAAGGAACUAGGCAAAAUGGUGCCGUAACUUCGGGAGAAGGCACGCUGGUGUGUAGGUGAAGUCCCUGCGGAUGGAGCUGAGACCAGUCGAAGAUACCAGCUGGCUGCAACUGUUUAUUAAAAACACAGCACUGUGCAAACACGAAAGUGGACGUAUACGGUGUGACGCCUGCCCGGUGCCGGAAGGUUAAUUGAUGGGGUUAUCCGUAAGGAGAAGCUCUUGAUCGAAGCCCCGGUAAACGGCGGCCGUAACUAUAACGGUCCUAAGGUAGCGAAAUUCCUUGUCGGGUAAGUUCCGACCUGCACGAAUGGCGUAAUGAUGGCCAGGCUGUCUCCACCCGAGACUCAGUGAAAUUGAACUCGCUGUGAAGAUGCAGUGUACCCGCGGCAAGACGGAAAGACCCCGUGAACCUUUACUAUAGCUUGACACUGAACAUUGAGCCUUGAUGUGUAGGAUAGGUGGGAGGCUUUGAAGCGUGGACGCCAGUCUGCGUGGAGCCAACCUUGAAAUACCACCCUUUAAUGUUUGAUGUUCUAACGUUGGCCCCUGACCGGGGUUGCGGACAGUGUCUGGUGGGUAGUUUGACUGGGGCGGUCUCCUCCCAAAGCGUAACGGAGGAGCACGAAGGUUAGCUAAUCCUGGUCGGACAUCAGGAGGUUAGUGCAAUGGCAUAAGCUAGCUUGACUGCGAGCGUGACGGCGCGAGCAGGUGCGAAAGCAGGUCAUAGUGAUCCGGUGGUUCUGAAUGGAAGGGCCAUCGCUCAACGGAUAAAAGGUACUCCGGGGAUAACAGGCUGAUACCGCCCAAGAGUUCAUAUCGACGGCGGUGUUUGGCACCUCGAUGUCGGCUCAUCACAUCCUGGGGCUGAAGUAGGUCCCAAGGGUAUGGCUGUUCGCCAUUUAAAGUGGUACGCGAGCUGGGUUUAGAACGUCGUGAGACAGUUCGGUCCCUAUCUGCCGUGGGCGCUGGAGAAUUGAGGGGGGCUGCUCCUAGUACGAGAGGACCGGAGUGGACGCAUCACUGGUGUUCGGGUUGUCAUGCCAAUGGCACUGCCCGGUAGCUAAAUGCGGAAGAGAUAAGUGCUGAAAGCAUCUAAGCACGAAACUUGCCCCGAGAUGAGUUCUCCCUGAGACUUUAAGUCUCCUGAAGGAACGUU
rnacentral:rRNA from 1 species